ensembl:lncRNA PSMB8-AS1 PSMB8 antisense RNA 1 (head to head)
CCAGGACCAUCACACUGGGGACCGGCUUCUCUGCUCUCCCGUUAUGGGGGUCGGGGGAAUGAUGGGUCAAGGGUCUUCCGAAGAAAGCGAGAAAGGAACAGGCGCCUUCAAAAGCCCACUUGGCGAUGGGUUACAGUAAGAGCGUUGCUCCCUGCUUGGCUGAGCACUGCGGAGUUUCACGCCUCUAAACCCCGCCUCUUCUUGCAACCUGUGUUGGCCUCAUCUACCCAGCAACUGUCGACGUCACACGACCUGGGCCUCCCUGAAUGGGAGAUAUUUACUAGGCAAUCCCGCCUACUGUUCUGAGGUUUCCCCUCCAGGUGCAGCUUCAGAGCCAGGCGAGCCAGGAAGGACCAGCGGGCGAGGUGGAAGUCUGCAUUAUCACGAGGAGCUUGGAAAGGAGGUAACACACUCAAGGCAAAUUUCAAGUAACUCAUCCUGGAGGCAGCUGCCUACUCUGCAGCUGUGGUUCUCCACCACAGAGAGAAGAAAAGGGAGGGAGAUGGAGUGCGCAGGUCUGAGAAGGCUUUCAUUCUGGAGCAUCUGCAGGAGCCUGCACCAUGGCCCAGUAGCACCCCUUUUUCUCCAUGAGCUGCUGGUGGGUUCCCCCCUCCCGGAUAGCGCCUCCUUCCAGAAAGAGGAUGUGGUCAGCCUGCUCCACCAGGCUGAGGUGCUGGGUGAUGAGAAGCACUGAGCGGGAGUACCGCUCAGGGCUUUCGUACAGGAGCUGCUCCACCUGAGGAAAGACAUCGGACCGUCAGAGCCGGGGACUACCCUCAGCCCAGGGAGACACCUGUGUUUCCAGGGCUGGGACUGACCUCACAGGAUCACUGCUGGCUCUGCUAACAACCCCAAGGACACCAACGUUUCCCAUUCUGAGUACUUCUCCGCAAACCCUUUGUUUCAUUAAGGACUGUUUUACAUGAAGGGUGCAAAA